UGUUUAUAAUUUUAUGGUUUUUUUUCAUUAUAUCUAAUAAGUCAUAUUCAUAUAUUUUUUAUCAAUUAUUGUCUAUAAUUACAGUAUAAAGUAGUUUUUCAAGUGAUGCCGUAUAAUCUUGAAACAUCAUUUCAAUAAUAACAACGUUCCAUAUUCAUAAAUAUAAUUUAAAUAUACUUAUAUAAAAUUUACAAAAAUAUAACCCCACUUAUGUAUUAGAAAGUCAAAAAUAACCUACUACUUAUUGUUUUAUUUAUUUUCAAAUGAAAUUAGCAUUCGCCAUUUGUUAACAAUAACUAUUAACAUAGAAAUAUGGUAAUCAGUUUUUUAAUGAGUAAUUCAAAAUAUUUGUAAGAAUAAUUGGUACUUUCUUAUUUCGAUUUUUUCCCAACAAAAAGUUCAUGUUGUCAUUGAUGAUCAACAUAUCGAAAAAGAAUCUAAUAGUUUAUUGCCAUAGAUUUGGCCGACAAAGUUAUGCUUUUUUUUUUUUUUUUUAAUGAAUUGAAAAUUUUUUUUUUUUAGAUUAUUGCAUUUUCAUAAGAAAAUUUUCUCAUCUUGAAACUGUGUGGCAUGUUUUUCUCAUUUAAGUAUUAUUUACUUGAAAUAUUUUCGAGUGACAAUUAAUUGUUAUUAUUAUUAUAAAAUGGAGUCGACUGGAAAUAAAAUAUGAUUGAAAAACUGUUUAUAGUGUUUUGCUUAAAUGAAAAAUUAACAAUUCUUCAUGGAUCGGAAAAUGUUUUAGGGAUGGAGUAAAAUUUUUGAUCUGAUAUGGGAUUUGAAUCAUUAGUUGAAAAACAAUUUUCUAAACUUAUUUCUGAUGAAAUAAUCAAAUCUGGUAAUGUACCCAUUACAGCGCAAAACAAAAGCAAGGUUUAAAGGGUGGUGCUAAAAGUAUUAAAAUAAAAAAAAAAGAUUUAUUUAAGAAGAAAUGUUGUGUCUAUUAUACUUUUUCUCUUCACUGUGAAUUACAAGUAAAUAAAAAAUUUCGUUGUUCUCAAUCAAAUCUAUUACGAUUAAUCAAGUUAAGAUUAUUUCUUUCAUUCUUGUAAUAAGUUUUGUUAGCACACAUAUUAAUGUUAUCAGCAAUGAAAAUAAAAUUGAAAUUAAUAUUUUUUUUUUUAAAUUCAAGUGACAUUUGUCUAAUUAUAUGGUUAAUAUGUUAAAAUAAUAUACGUAGUCGAGAGAACUCUAUUGUCAUAAUUUCAUAGCUACUGCGGUUAGUUAAGAAAUAGUUUCACUAGAAUCAAGAAUCGUUUAAUUUAAAAAAAAAAAAAAAAAUAUAUAUAUAUAUAUAUAUACAAAUCUACUUUAUUUAAAAUAGAUAUAGGGUCCAUAUAUAAAAAGAUGUAUUAAUGUCUAUUCAUCUAUUAAUGAGAAGAGAGCAAGCCUUCGGAAACUUUUUUAUAUAAAUUAAAAUAAUUAAAAAUUAAAUUUAUGAAAUAAAAAUUUGAAAAAAUUGUUUCUACAUAAAAAUUUUUAAUCGUCAGAUGUCAGCUAUUUUCGGUGUCACGAAAUACAAAUCUGUAAAAAUAAGUGAUUAAAAAAGAAAUGAGUUACUUAGAGGUUGCUAUAUAAAAUUUAAUUAAUAAUUAAUCAUAAUAAAUAUGUUAAACUAAGUGCUUGUUUUGAUGACGUUGCAUCUUUCUUGAGUGAAAUCUUGAAUAAUAUUAUAAUAGUAAAAAUUACAGGUUAUGAAUGAAAAUUAAAAAUUUUCAUUAAUUAUAUGUUGUUGUAAACUUCUAUAAAUUCUUAUUUACUAGAUUCCAUUCUACCUUCAAAAACCUCUACUUCGUUGAUUAUCGAGUGUAUGAUUAAAUAGGAACAGGAAUUAUAAAUAUUGUUAUUAGCACUAUCAUUGAUAAAUAAAUAUUUAUCUUCAAAAAAAAAUUAUUUUUCACUUUAUUGAAUUAUUAUUUUGUGUCUGAUUGAAAAAACGUAUUGCUAUAUAAAUAUCUUCAAUAUAGGGAAUAUGAAUAUUUAUUUUACAUACAUUUGAUUUUUGGAACAUUGUUAUUAUUUAUUGAGAUGAUUAAAUUUAUUAUUUUUAAUGUACAUGAAUGAUUUUCACACAUAAUUCUA